AUCCUUUUGUAGUUCAUGAGCGUGAUCAUUGGGUGUUUACACACGUGUGAGAUGUGCCAUCCUUGAACCUUGUUAUGAUGUCAGCACAUUACCCAUCUAACA
ensembl:snoRNA